AUGAGGCAUUCUGCCAGAUGGUCUGGACUGUCUGCUCAGGGAACCACUCCACUGUGUCCAUCCAGUCCUUCUCCUGCAGUAACUGCAGGACAUUCCGUGCUGACCACUGUCUGGUGUUCUUGUGGUCAAAGCUGCUGGUCUGAAAGAACUGUCACCAAUUUCAUUAACACAAGGUUCACAUGGAGAAGCUUCCCGACUGAGACAGACACAGUCUCAUGGGGUAUUUACAGGGUAGGGGCAGGAAUGAUGUUUUUCCUGGCUGGGCAGUGGAACCAGGGAUCGCAGACUCAAAAUCCGAGGCCACCUCAGCAGGACUGAGAUGAGGAGAAAUUUCCCCAACACAGUGCAGUGAAUAUUUGGAGUUUUCUCCACAAGUUUCCUAAAGUAAACGGACAUAUUUAGGAGCUCGGCGAUGUUGGGAACGUUUCAGGAAAGUGGCGCUGAGGUCAAAGUUCAACAUGUUCUGAGUGAGGGGCAGAACAGUGCAACGGGCCGAGUGGCAACGCCUGCUCCUGUUUCUUAUUUUCUAAAUCACGAAUUUACCUUUGCGCCUUGUUCUCCCUUGGCCUUCCGCCUGUCGGAUUGCACAGGGGAGCGGUGAGAGCUCCGGAGAUCCAUCAGCAGCCGCUGCGGUUAUUUCAUGCUCUCGUUAUUUUAUCGGUGUUUCUCUGUUUUUGCACAGUUUGUUACCUUCAGCACUCUGGCUGAUCUUUCACUGCCUGCUUCUGUUAUGGUUACUAUUCUAUACUUUUUCUAAGUACGUCCGCAGGAAAAUGCUUCUCGGGGUUGAAUGUGGUGAUUUAUCUGUACUCUGAUAAUAAAAUUUACUUUGAAAUUUGAGUUUCGGGGAUUUUCCUUUAAUUCUGGGGACAAACUGUGACUGACAUCUCCAGCUCCCAGCAGCAGCCCGUUCUCACACAUACACAGCCAAUCAGCGAUCACCGCUGGUAGAGGGAUGCUCUCAUUGGCUGAGGGGUGUCAGUGGGCGGGACGCUGUUUGGACCGGGACCGAGUGGGCCGGAGACCGGGAGCUGCGCCUCGGGUUUCGGCUGCACCACCGGCGGGUCGUGAAUCCUUUCGAAGGCAGAGCUGAAGCGACCGGCGGAGAUUCCGUGAGAUGUUUCAGCUGCACGGAGGGCGCACGGCCUCUCCCCGUCGAGGAUCGGGGCCUGUUGUCUGGAGUUGUCUCCCAGACCUGUCCCGUCCUGCUGGGAGACGGGAGCUGCCCCGCAGCGGCUGCCGGUGGAUCUCCGGAGCUCUCACCGCUCCCCUGUGCAAUCCGAACGGCUGAAAACCAAGGGAGAACAAGGGGCAAAGGGGCAAGACCAGAACAUGUGGGUCAAUAAAGCGACUUCAGAAUGACAUCUGUGACAGGCUGGAUUAACAUAAGAAUAAAAUCGAGCGAGUUUAUCCUUGGACAUGUGAGCCCUAUGAACAACCUGAAAUUGUAUUAGGCAUGUUUAGCACAAAUAAAAGAAGAAUUGAUUAAUUGUAAAA